rnacentral:rRNA from 1 species
GGGUUCAAACCUAAAGAACCCAAAUAUCUAAACGGAGAAAUUCAAUACUGUUCUGGCAACAGAAUGGUGUGCACUUUUCUCUUAGUAAGACGUUGUGAUCCAUUAGGAAUAGAUUUACCGCAUGGUUUAUCGUUGGGCUACCAAUAGGCUGGCGUUGAAGUUCACCCAGUCGAAUGGCACGAUCUUUUGGUUGUGUGUAUCGACGGAUGAGCAAUGCCAUGUACUGAUGUAGCUGCCUGAUGGGUUUUAAAGGUCAUAUCAUUGAUGCUUGCAUCACCCGUCUUCACGGAUGGGUCAUAGGAUAUGUGCCCGAUCAACAACGGUUUCAUUUGGGAUACCUUUUGGACCCGUCUUGAAACACGGACCAAGGAGUCUAUCUAGUAUGCGAGUAAAUGGGAUUAACGAACUAAACCUAUUUGCGUAAAUAACUUGACUGUUUAGAUGGGAUUACGUGCACAUUGUCUGUAUAGAGUGUGCACCUCCAUCCCGGGGUAUUUUCAUCACAUAUAUGGGCAACUAUAUAUAGAAAAUAUACCAUGAGCAUACUGGACAUGACCCGAAAGAUGGUGAACUAUGCCUGAUCAGGUUGAAGUCAGGGGAAACCCUGAUGGAGGACCGAAGCAAUUCUGACGUGCAAAUCGAUUGUCAGAAUUGGGCAUAGGGGCGAAAGACCAAUCGAACCAUC